rnacentral:rRNA from 1 species
GAUAAACGCUAGCGGCAGGCCUAACACAUGCAAGUCGAGGGGCAGCGGGGAAGUAGCUUGCUACUUUUGCCGGCGACCGGCGCACGGGUGCGUAACGCGUAUGCAACCUACCUUUAACUGGGGGAUAAUCUGAAGAAAUUUGGUCUAAUACCCCAUAACAUAAGAACAGGCAUCUGUUUUUAUUAAAAAUUCCGAUGGUUAAAGAUGGGCAUGCGUUGUAUUAGUUAGUUGGUGGGGUAACGGCUCACCAAGGCUACGAUACAUAGGGGGACUGAGAGGUUUUCCCCCCACACUGGUACUGAGACACGGACCAGACUCCUACGGGAGGCAGCAGUGAGGAAUAUUGGUCAAUGGACGCAAGUCUGAACCAGCCAUGCCGCGUGCAGGAUGACGGCUCUAUGAGUUGUAAACUGCUUUUGUACGAGGGUAACCUACUUACGAGUAAGUAGCUGAAAGUAUCGUACGAAUAAGGGUCGGCUAACUCCGUGCCAGCAGCCGCCGUAA